UCUUUCUAAUGCUAAAAAAAACGAACUAUAGGUGAAAUAGUGUAAGAUAUACCCCAUAUUAUGUAUUUAACUCUUUUGAAUAAUAUCAUCAGAGAUAAUUUGAUAUUCAGCAAAACAUUGGUGGCAAGUACGUUUUUUAACGCAUGGAUAUGCAUUAAUUAUUUCUUCUUAGUUAUCUAAUGUCGUAUAAGUAUUUUGUUAUUUAUGGUAUUUUUAUCGGUAUUAUUAUUUUAUAAACUCUGAUGUGGUAGAUUAAGUUGUGAGAUUGAACAUAAAUUACAUAUAGGGGUAAUAAUUUUGGAACCCCGUCAACAGGUAAAAAAUACGUUUUUGCGAUAACGGGAGUGGUUAUUCACUCAUUUUCAUUAUCCGUGUACACUUAUAGAUUAGACUAUUAGUCUGGAUUAAUGGUUAGGUACGAGUAUUGUAAUAUACACUCCUACACACUUUUGAUGAGUGUACCUAUACAAAAAAAUAUAUAUCUGUAAUCUCAAAAAAAAAUUGGGUCCGUAGUUAAAGAGUGCCAACCCUACGCUGUAUGACCUACCUGUACUGUAAUUAACCCGGGCUAUAUUUUGCUUGUGAUGUGUUAGGGUCAGGGCAAUUAUGGCUGCGUUACUUUCUCUUGAUAUAAAAAGACGUAACAUGAAAAUUUCGGAGCAAUAGUUUGUCAAAGGACUGUCUCAUUUCAAACAUAGACAGAGAGAAACAUAACAUAUUUGUCUUACCCUAGUACUAGCACCCAAAAGAAAAGGGUGAGUAUAGUUUUCGUGGUUCUUACUGACUGACAAAUUGGUUUGACCAACUAUAUUUUUUUUCUUAAUGGUAUGAAGGUAGGUACGGCAACCUCUAUUUGGUGUGAUCCAACACGUACUUGGAAGACUUUUUGAAUUAACUAUAAGUACACAGUAAAACUCGAUUUAUUUAUUACAAAAAAUGUUUUUUAUUAUUUUUUUUCGACUGAAUUUAGAUCACAAUCUAAUGCAGCUAGUCAGUGAAUUUUUUUCUCUUAAAAUAUUAGCCAAAGCUCAUAAAUGUUGUUUUAAAAUUUUAGCUAAGGAAAAAGUUAAUAUAUUUUGAGCGGGAUUGUUUUUUAAAACAUAAAUACUUUACACAAUUAUUCACGAUGAAUAAAAUAUAAUUAUUGUUAAAAUAUAUACCUACAAUAUGUGUUACCUAUACUAAUAACAAGGUGUUUGUAUAAGAAUGUAAUAACUAAUAAAUACUAUGUAUCUUCAUAUAAAUAAAAUACAAUUUAUAUUAUGUCUGUAAAUUAUUACAUUACUGUAGUAGCAAUAAGUAAUACAUACAAUAUAUGUUUGGUGGCAAAAUUGUUAGUUGUGGAACAUUAUGUUUAAAAUUGCAGAGUUAAAUUUAAUGAUGUAAUAUGUAAUAUUUGAGUACAGUAAGCUGCAGUUAUAUAAAUUCGUUUGCAGGGGGUCAGUUAUCUCUGGAGGUUACUGUACAUUGUAGUUUUCUUCUUAGCUCCAGCGUGAAAGUGAUGUUAUUGUCUAUAUUAAUGUAAUAUAAAAAUGUCUGCUCAUAUUUAGUAUGUAAAUGGAUGUUUGAAUACGUCUUAAUACAUUCCGUCCAAAUUUGUUGAAGUACUUAAAAUAUUAGAACUAAGCAAUAAAAUUCCUUAUACACCUAUUUUUAUGUAACUUUUAAAGAAAUACAUAUUACUUUUUACUAUUUAA